AUAUCCUAUCUAGAAAACAGCCUUGAUUCAUUGACCCAGCUGGUGGAAAUUGUUGAUCCGUAUCUUGUCGGCUAUAACAAGAAAUCUUAUCUUCAGAUGGCUCCCUUGUCCACGAAUUGCGCAGAAACGGCAUCCAGACAUCAAACACAAAUGGCUGGUGGUAUGGUGCAUGAUGAGACCAGCUCACCCGAUUAACCGACCGAUUCUUUGUAAAAUUCCUUUACCAGGGAAUCUAUCUGCCAACCAUGACCAUGAUGCAUGUAUGCAUACUUAAGAUCUCUUUUCACCUGCUUAUUCCUUCUAUGUGGGGCCUCCAACUGGCUGAUAUUUUACGAAGAAGAAAAGGAUUUCCUUCCAGUGUAUUUUUACUGAUUUUUCUUUUCAGAAUUUAUUGGCACUUGGUACAUAUUAAUGUCUGCUUUCUCAGCAUGAUUAUUUAUUCUUGUGAAUUAAUGGUGGUCAUCCUCUUAUA